rnacentral:rRNA from 1 species
UGAGGAAUAUUGGACAAUGGGCGCAAGCCUGAUCCAGCCAUGCCGCGUGCAGGAAGACGGUCCUAUGGAUUGUAAACUGCUUUUGCACAGGAAGAAACAUCCCGACGUGUCGGGACUUGACGGUACUGUGAGAAUAAGGAUCGGCUAACUCCGUG